rnacentral:rRNA from 1 species
UGAGCAAUCUGCCCUUCUCAUCGGAAUAAGCGUUGGAAACGACGUCUAAUGCCGAAUACGACCUCCUUUCGCAUGAUCGGAGGUGGAAAGCUCCGGCGGAGAAGGAUGAGCUCGCGGCCUAUCAGCUUGUUGGUGGGGUAACGCCCACCAAGGCGACGACGGGUAGCUGGUCUGAGAGGACGACCAGCCACACUGGAACUGAGAUACGGUCCAGACUCCUACGGGAGCAG